rnacentral:rRNA from 1 species
UACGGAGGGUGCAAGCGUUAUCCGGAAUUACUGGGUGUAAAGGGAGCGUAGACGGUAAUGUAAGUCUGGAGUGAAAGGCGGGGGCCCAACCCCCGGACUGCUCUGGAAACUAUGUUACUGGAGUGCAGGAGAGGUAAGCGGAAUUCCUAGUGUAGCGGUGAAAUGCGUAGAUAUUAGGAGGAACACCAGUGGCGAAGGCGGCCUGCUGGGCCAUUACUGACGCUCAUGCACGAAAGCGUGGGGAGCAAACAGG